rnacentral:pre_miRNA from 1 species
AAUGUAUUUCUUGGGUCAUACAGUAAAUCUAUUAACUUUUUGAGAUACUGCCAAACUAUUUUCCACUGCUGCUUCACUGUCUUACAUUCUCAUCAGCAAU